AAAAGUCAUAUUUUUUAUUACUUUUAAUCAGAUAAAUCCAAGUUCCUGCUAUUUAGUGGAUGACACCAACUGCACAGUAUUUCCCAACGAUGAUGGAACUUUUUCAUCAUUCCAACUCACACUGAAUGCCCAUUAUGCGGUAAAUGGCGAUGAUAUGGUUUCCACUGGGAAUGAACUGGCGUCUUCUUUAAAUAAUGCAAGUUCGUCACAGUUUUCAUUUGCAAGAAACAGAUCAACAACUGUUUCCCCGUCCCGCUUGCCUACAUUCCAAAGACCUGGAAAAAGCUACCUACGUCAAAUUUACAUAGGCUCAGUUCAAGGUUCCAACAUCCUUUUAGACAGGACAAUUUUGAUUAAAUUUAACACACAUGAGGCUAAUGUUCCAGAUAUUAUAGCAAAAUUCUCAGAUGCAGUAUACGAGGAACAAGAAGACAUCGAAGAUUUUGUAUUGACAGAUACUAAGGGCAAUCAAAUACUAGAUACAGAGGCAACAAGAGGACUAGGAUACUGGAAAGGCAGUGCCCGGAAAAUUGUUGGCCUUACUUUAGCAGACUAUAACUCGUUCAAGAACUCAACAUUGAGGCGGACAAGGACAACAGAUCCCGAGGAUAAGAAAAGAAAAUUAGAAGAUAUUGAGGAAAAAUUAAAUGAUAUAUAUAAUGCUGGAAAAAAGCUGAAAUCCAUUUCUGAUGGAAUAGAUACCAUUUUUAAGCAGGUGUCUUCACAGACGACCGUCAGGUUAUCAGGUCUGCAGGCAGAGGCGAUAAAAAAUAGUUUUACGUGCUUGAUUUGCAAAGAUUUACUUAAGGAGCCCAUGUUCGCUAAAUGCUGCAGCACUAUUGUAGGCUGCAAGGUCUGUGUGGAAGAGUGGCUGCGAAAUUCAACACAGUGCCACAAAUGUCGCAGUAGAGGUGCGAAGGACAAGGUAUUCCCCAUAGUGGGAAUUGACGAUGGUCUAGAGGUGCUACAAGCCAUUGUCUCUGAAUAAGAAGGAUAUCUGAACAGGAUUGAUGCAGAAGCAGUAACAAUUGGUUGUAACCUUUAUUUUUAUUUUUGUAAACA